UACGUAGGGUGCAAGCGUUGUCCGGAAUUAUUGGGCGUAAAGAGCUCGUAGGCGGCCUGUCGCGUCUGCUGUGAAAGCCCGGGGCUCAACCCCGGGUCUGCAGUGGAUACGGGCAGGCUAGAGUCCGGCAGGGGAGACUGGAAUUCCUGGUGUAGCGGUGAAAUGCGCAGAUAUCAGGAGGAACACCGGUGGCGAAGGCGGCGCUCUGGGCCGGAACUGACGCUGAGGAGCGAAAGCGUGGGUAGCAAACAGG
rnacentral:rRNA from 1 species